rnacentral:rRNA from 1 species
CUACGUAGGUGGCAAGCGUUGUCCGGAAUUAUUGGGCGUAAAGCGCAUGUAGGCGGUGCCUUAAGUCUGUCGUGGAACUUCGGGGCUCAGCCCCGUAUGGCGAUGGAAACUGGGUUACUUGAGUGCAGGAGAGGAAAGGGGAACUCCCAGUGUAGCGGUGAAAUGCGUAGAUAUUGGGAAGAACACCGGUGGCGAAGGCGCCUUUCUGGACUGUGUCUGACGCUGAGAUGCGAAAGCCAGGGUAGCGAACGGGAUUAGAUACCCCGGUAGUCCUGGCCGUAAACGAUGGGUACUAGGUGUGGGAGGUAUCGACCCCUUCCGUGCCGGAGUUAACGCAAUAAGUACCCCGCCUGGGGAGUACGGCCGCAAGGCUUAAACUCAAAUGAAUUGACGGGG